GAUGAACGCUGGCGGCGUGCCUAAUACAUGCAAGUCGAGCGAACAGACGAGGAGCUUGCUCCUCUGACUUUAGCGGCGGCCGGGUGAGUAACCCGUGGUUAACCUCCCUCUACGCCUGGGAUAACUUCGGGAAACCGGAGCUAAUACCGGAUAAUAUAUUGAACCGCAUGGUUCAAUAGUGAAAGGCGGUUUUGCUGUCUCUUAUAGAUGGAUUCGGGCCGCCUUAGCUAGUUGGUAAGGUAACGGCUGACCAAGGCAACGAUGCGUAGCCGGCCUGAGAGGGUGAGCGGCCACACUGGAACGGAGAGACGGUCCAGACUCCUACGGGAGGCAGCAGUAGGGAGUCUGCCGCAAUGGGCGAAAGCCUGACGGAGCAACGCCGCGUGAGUGAUGAAGGUCUGCGGAUCGGAAAACUCUGUUAUUAGGGAAGAACAAAGGUGUAAGUAACUAUGCACGUCUUGACGGUACCUAAUCAGAAAGCCACGGCUAACUACGUG
rnacentral:rRNA from 1 species